AGAGUUUGAUUAUGGCUCAGGAUGAACGGCUGGCGGCGUGCCUAACACAUGCAAGUCGAACGAAGCAUACGGACUGGAGAUUCGUCGAAGGACCGUAUGACUUAGUGGCGGACGGGUGAGUAAUGUAUGAGCAACCUGCCUUUCAGAGGGGGACAACAGUUGGAAACGACUGCUAAUACCGCGUAACGUAUCGUGAGGGCAUCCUCGAGAUACCAAAGGAGCAAUCCGCUGAAAGAUGGGCUCAUAUCUGAUUAGCUUGUUGGCGGGGUAACGGCCCACCAAGGCGACGAUCAGUAGCCGGACUGAGAGGUUGAACGGCCACAUUGGGACUGAGAUACGGCCCAGACUCCUACGGGAGGCAGCAGUGGGGAAUAUUGGGCAAUGGGCGAAAGCCUAGACCCAGCAACGCCGCGUGAAGGAAGAAGGUCUUCGGAUUGUAAACUUCUUUUAUGAGGGACGAAGGACGUGACGGUACCUCAUGAAUAAGCCACGGCUAACUACGUGCCAGCCGCCGC
rnacentral:rRNA from 1 species